CCGGGGCUCUGACUGGUCGGGGGCUGCGCAGCCGCCAUGUUCGGUUGCUAUGCUGCGGCCUCGGAGACGGGGUGUGCUUGAGAGAGGAGGAGGAGACGGAGGAGGCGGUGGAGGCGAGGGAGGAGGAGGAAGGAGAGGAGGAGGAGAAGGAGGAGGAGGGUGACCGAGGCUCUCCUUUGCACUCUCACACAGAGCCGCCUCCCUGGAGUCACCCGCCGCUUCACGCCGCGCGCGCUUCCCUGCUCCGCGGACGCGACAUUGUUCUUUUAAGACUCCCGGGAGCUGUCAGAAAUCGGGGCUCCGGGACUUGAAAGAGACUUGACUUCGGCCCGCAGCUUGCGGGGACCGCGGCACUUUCGGGGCGCGUGUGAAGGGAUUAGCUCAUCUCGCCGCGAGGUGCGAGCGCGCGCCUCCCCGCGCACGCCAGCCCCGCCGCAGCCCCGCAGGAUGACGGGGUGCAGGCGGCCCGCGGCCGUGGCGCGGCCGCUGUGGCGGCGGCUGUUCUCGGGACGCUGAGGGCGAGCACCUCGACGCGGACCACGCGCUUCUUUCACCCGGCCGCGAGCCCGGGGCCUCCUGCCUUUUUGUAUUUGGAUUCCCCCCCCCCCCCCCCUUUCUCCAGCCGGGAGGACGCGGCUGUGAUAACGAAGGUUUUGUGUGGACAGUAAUGACCGCACGUUUCCGAUUGCCUGCUGGCAGAACCUACAAUGUCCGAGCAUCAGAGUUGGCCCGAGACAGACAGCAUACAGAGGUCGUUUGCAACAUUCUUCUUCUGGAUAACACUGUACAGGCUUUCAGAGUUAACAAACAUGAUCAGGGGCAAGUUCUGUUGGAUAUAGUCUUCAAGCAUCUUGAUUUGACUGAGCGAGACUAUUUUGGUUUACAGUUGGCUGACGAUUCCACAGAUAACCCAAGGUGGCUGGAUCCAAACAAACCAAUAAGGAAGCAGCUAAAGAGAGGAUCACCUUACAAUUUGAACUUUAGAGUCAAAUUCUUUGUAAGUGACCCCAACAAGUUACAAGAAGAGUAUACAAGGUAUCAGUACUUUUUGCAAAUUAAGCAAGACAUUCUUACUGGAAGAUUAUCCUGUCCUUGUAACACUGCUGCCCUUUUAGCAUCAUUUGCUGUUCAGUCUGAACUUGGAGACUACAAUCAGUCAGAAAACUUGGCAGGCUACCUCUCAGAUUAUUCUUUCAUUCCUAAUCAACCUCAAGAUUUUGAGAAAGAAAUUGCAAAGUUACAUCAGCAGCACGUUGGCCUAUCUCCUGCAGAAGCAGAAUUUAAUUACCUAAACGCGGCACGUACCUUAGAACUCUAUGGAGUUGAAUUUCACUAUGCAAGGGAUCAAAGUAACAAUGAAAUCCUGAUUGGAGUGAUGUCAGGAGGAAUUCUGAUUUAUAAGAACAGGGUACGGAUGAAUACUUUUCUGUGGUUGAAGAUUGUAAAAAUUUCUUUUAAAUGCAAACAGUUUUUUAUUCAACUUAGAAAAGAGUUGCAUGAAUCUAGAGAAACAUUACUGGGAUUUAAUAUGGUGAAUUAUAGAGCAUGUAAAACUUUGUGGAAAGCGUGUGUAGAACAUCAUACAUUCUUCCGCCUGGAUAGACCACUUCCACCUCAAAAAAAUUUUUUUGCACAUUAUUUUACAUUGGGUUCCAAAUUCCGGUACUGUGGGAGAACUGAAGUCCAGUCAGUUCAAUAUGGCAAAGAAAAGGCAAAUAAAGACAGGGUAUUUGCAAGAUCUCCAAGUAAGCCUUUGGCACGGAAAUUAAUGGAUUGGGAAGUAGUCAGCAGAAAUUCAUUAUCUGAUGACAGGUUAGAAACACAAAGCCUCCCAUCCCGGUCUCCACCUGGAACUCCCAACCAUCGGAAUUCUUCAUUCACACAAGAGGCAACCCGGGUUCGGCCGUCUUCAGUUGGUCAUUUGGUAGACCAUGUGGUUCACAUGUCCCCCAGUGAGGAUUUUGUAAGUCAGAGAUCUCCAUCAUCAACGCAAGCUAAUAGCAUAGUUCUGGAGUCAUCACCAUCACAAGAGACCCCUGAAGAUGGGCAGCCACCAGCUUUACCACCCAAACAAUCUAAGAAAAAUAGUUGGAACCAAAUUCAUUUUUCAAACUCUCAGCAAGAUCUAGUCACCCAUACUAAUGAAUCCUUUGAUGUGCCCUCUUCCCCUGAAAAGUCCACUCCUAAUGGUGGCAUUCCACAUGAUAACCUUGUUCUAAUCAAAAUGAAACCUGAUGAAAAUGGAAGGUUUGGAUUCAAUGUAAAGGGAGGAUAUGAUCAGAAGAUGCCUGUAAUUGUUUCCCGGGUAGCACCAGGAACACCUGCUGACCUCUGUGUCCCUCGCUUGAAUGAAGGGGACCAAGUGGUACUAAUAAAUGGUCGGGACAUUGCAGAACAUACCCAUGAUCAAGUAGUCUUGUUUAUUAAAGCUAGCUGUGAGAAACAUUCUGGGGAACUCGUGCUCCUAGUCCGACCUAAUGCUGUAUAUGAUGUAGUGGAAGAAAAACUAGAAAGUGAACCAGACUUCCAGUAUAUUCCUGAGAAAGCCCCACUAGAUAGUGUCCAUCAAGAUGACCAUUCCUUGCGGGAGUCAAUGAUCCAGCUAGCUGAGGGGCUUAUCACUGGAACAGUACUGGCACAGUUUGAUCAACUCUAUCGGAAAAAACCUGGAAUGACAAUGUCUUGUGCCAAAUUACCUCAGAACAUUUCCAAAAACAGAUACAGAGAUAUUUCACCUUAUGAUGCUACACGGGUCCUUUUAAAAGGUAAUGAAGACUACAUCAAUGCAAACUAUAUAAAUAUGGAAAUUCCUUCUUCAAGUAUUAUAAAUCAAUACAUUGCUUGUCAAGGGCCAUUACCACACACUUGUAAAGAUUUUUGGCAAAUGACUUGGGAACAAGGCUCCUCCAUGGUUGUGAUGUUGACCACACAAGUUGAACGUGGCAGAGUUAAAUGUCACCAGUAUUGGCCAGAACCCUCAGAAAGCUCAUCCUAUGGAUGCUAUCAAGUCACCUGCCACUCUGAAGAAGGAAACCCUGCCUAUAUCUUCAGGAAGAUGACACUGUUUAACCAAGAGAAAAAUGAGAGCCGUCAACUUACUCAGAUUCAGUACACAGCCUGGCCUGACCAUGGAGUACCUGAUGAUUCGAGUGACUUUCUGGAUUUUGUUUGUCAUGUACGAGACCAGAGGGCUGGAAAAGAAGAGCCCAUUAUUGUUCAUUGCAGAAAAGCCACAAAUUUAGCAAUUGUACCACUAAAACUUUGCACAUCCGUCUGUCCUUUUUCAGUGCUGGAAUUGGAAGGACUGGGGUUCUUAUUACUAUGGAAACUGCCAUGUGUCUCAUUGAAUGCAAUCAGCCAGUUUAUCCACUAGACAUUGUAAGAACAAUGAGAGAUCAAAGAGCAAUGAUGAUCCAAACACCUAGUCAAUACAGAUUUGUAUGUGAAGCUAUUCUGAAAGUUUAUGAAGAAGGAUUUGUUAAACCAUUAACAACAUCAUCAAAUAAAUAAAACAAAAAGGUUGGAACAAGUACUGGGAAACUGAUUUUGUUAUGUUCACUGUGCCAUAAUACUGCUUGCAAGAAAUGGCCUCUCACACAAAAAGUGAAGAACUCAAAAAGACGUCAAGAACUUCAGCACUACUGCACUUUAUGUUUUAAAAAGUCACUCAAAACCUAUUACUCACAUGGUUGACCAUUUUGUGCUUUGCUCUGAACGACGAGUGAAAACUGAAUAUGUUCAGGGUAGUUUAUGGAAUUUUGAGGUGUUGCCAUGCAGUCCCCUCGGGUAGAAUUGCCACAGAUAAGGCUCAGAAUUCUCAUCUCUUACACACCCGUACCUUGAAAGCAAAAAGGAGUAAACAUCAGGAGUCUGCUCUGGUCUUUCCCAGUGGUUCAUGUACUCGCUCUACUGAGUACCAGAUUUUAUUUUUCAAAUGUUAGCAAUACCAUUCUCAACAUUAGCCAGUACACUGCCUGUGGAUGCAGCACAUCUUCCCUGCCAUCCCAAUAGGGACCUGCUGUUGAGAAGAACAUUGGAACGUGCUGUUCCCAGGAAAUGCUGCACAGUGUCCAUUUACCAGCAUCUCAGAGAACUAACUAUGAAUCUAUGGAUUUUCUUGGAUUUAAUGAUGUAACUUAUAUUUAUCAUAAGGUUGGCUUAUUCCAAAUCAUGUGAUUUCACAUUCUUGAUGUAAAGGAAUGCAUGCAUCGUGUCUUAACCCCUUAAGUGCCUUGAGAUAUCUUUGUCUAAUGAAAAGGCACUCAUUUGACCCCAUAGGAGGUAUGUAUGUAUACUGUACAUUCUUAUAGUUUUAUGAAUUUUUAAUAAGUUCACAGUGUUUUUAAAAACCAGCUUCUUAUGUUGAGAGUUAUACAAAGAAGGGUAAGGACAUUCUGUUUCUUACUCAGUGCUUGCUUGGACUUUGCCAUAAAAGCCAGGAUCUCUGUAUUCUGCUGAGAGUGCAUCUGCUGCUAUGGAAUUGUUCACAGUCUGUACAUUCCGUUACUGAGUGACAGGGGUUAAAGUUUAGCAGCGUAACUUAAAAGAGGGUUUAUUCUUCAAAUUUCAUAUUUACUUUAUCCUAAGUUAAAAAGUGUUGUUUAACAUGUAUAUUAGAAAUAAAUAUAUUGGUACUCUUAAGUUAUAGUGACAGAGUUAAUUAGUUGGAAUAUUAACAUCUAUAACUAAAGUGUUGCCCUGAAGCAUCAUUCUAGGUCAUAUCAGGCUGUCUUCACACUGCUCUUUUCAUUGGGAUUCUUUAGACAAGGAAUUAGACACUAUUGACUUUCUCUAAAUGUGACCCUUCAUAAUAGUAAAAUGACAGUUUUCAUGUCAUCAUAGUUUAUAUAUACCUAUUAAAUUAUAAGCAUGUCAGUGAGUCCAUCUUGAUGGGAGAUCCAGCUCCCAUUGCAGAUGUGUAUGUUUUCCUUGUUUUAAGUCUAUGGAGACAGAUUUUUAAAAUUGCCCAUUUAAUGUGAGAACUUGCUCACUUUUUCACAUGUUAUUUUAUAUGGAUAUGGUUAAAAUAGACACAUUUGCUAGUGGUUUCAGAUUACUUAUGCAGUCUUGAUAAAACAUAGGUUCCAAUGGUAGAUGUUUUGGAAUGCUAUUUAGUUGGGAGAAUGAUAUACAUUUAAAAAUCUUUAGUAAAAUAUAAAUCAUUGUUUCAUAUAUUCAGAAUCCAUAAUAGUAAAAUUCAGUAUUUAAAUAUUAAUUGCCAGGGUACCAAAUAAAUUGUCACUUAUAAAUAUUUCUUGUCUUAUUUUUAAAGAAAGAAAUAAACAUAUCUUUACAUCAAACAGAAGUCCCCCUAUUCUGAUUUCACAUGCAAGACAAUAUUAGUCAGUGAACUAUAAUUUUGCUCAGACAUUCCAUUCUCUACCCAGAGGCAAAUGUAAUUUAGGCUGGUAGGAUAUCAUUGCAAGUUAAAAAGGGAUAUUGGGUUGGAGAUCUACACAUUAUAAAGCUAUUUUAUUUCAUUGGUCGAUUUUAGCCUAAAUUUUAAAUCUUGCCAUGUGGGUAGAAGGUGACAACCAUAGACCGAAAGAGAAAAGCUAGUAGAAGGGCAGUGUCGUGAUUCAUUUGCUCUUUAAUGUAAAGCUUUGGGUACAUUUCUGUAGAUAACACUGCUGUUGGCAGUGAGCUUUGCUGCCUUUUAAGUCGGCAGUGCUUGUUUUUAAGUGACAAGGGGAGAAAUAAAUUUAAAUUUCUCAUAGAAAUUCUUGUCUAAGAACUAUACUCCAUUAGUAUUUUACGUGUGAAAACAGCCCUUUUAGAGUAUUUAUUAGGAUCCUAAGCUAAUCGUAGCCUUCACAAAUUGUUACUAUGGAUAUGCUAAUUAAAUUUUGCUAGUUACCUAACAUAUAACAGUCCUUUACAUCUAAGCAUCUAAUCAGUUAAUUAAUCUAAAUAGAUUUCUAGAAAUAAUGCUAGUUUUCAUACGCCAGGUAGUGCUACACUCCAUACAUAUUGAUGUAAUAUUGUGUGACAAUACCCAAAUUUCUUGAAUCGAACUACUUUUCCAUUUCACUCGCCACUUGUAAGUCCACACCCCGACAAACUCAAGAAAUAAUGUGUUUCUCCCAACAAGUGAAAAGUCAGUAUUGGUGAGUCAGGUCUUUUGUACAUGCUAAAAGUAAAUGUGAAAAACUUCCUUCCCUAAAUUCACAUGACUUUUCUGCUUCUUUUAUUGGGCAUUUGGUUAUGUCAGCACUGCCGAGAUGCUCUGUAGUAAUCUUUUGAAGUAGAUUUUGCAUUCACAAAAAGAAUAGGUUGUAUUUGCUAAACUAAUCCAUUCAUUCAAAAGUGAGACAGAAUAAAUAGCUCAAGAAAAGCUUGUGUGUAGUUUGCUGGGCCAAGUAAUUGGGAAAGGGUAAUGACUGAUCAUUUUGACUUAAGAAUAAAGGUAACAGUGUAUGAAAGUUGACUUCACAUGCACUUAUGCUGAGCCAUUAGGACGGUUGCUUGAAAGUUUUGGGUACUACUACUGUACGUGCCUUCAUAGAGAAAGAUGAGUGCAUUGAUUUGCAUGUGUACUUCAUAAAGACAUGUCCACAGACUUUUAACCAUGGGGUUGUUUAUAUCUCUUGGCAGGUCUGACCAAGUCUAAUGAGUUACUUGAGCAAAAAAUCUCUUGUCUCACUAGAAGUAGUACUUGAGAGCUAAAAAUUUGAAAGAUUUUGUUCAGUUUUUAUGUCCUUGUUAUUAUAAGAAGGACCACAGGUCCAGCAAUUAAUUUAGCAGAAUCUAGUCAUCUUCAGAUUUUCUAAUUCUCAAUUUAGUGUUGCUGUAUUAGACUAUAACUUCAGUAAAUUGUGACUAUGAUCAGUACUUGUAAAGUUUACCUAUUUCUACUUGGGAGGCAUGCUCAGUUGUCACUUGGAACCUGUGACACCUUAGAAGUUUGAAAGGAGCCUUCAGAAGUGAUGCCAAUUAGGAACUGGACUCAGUUUGCUAGAGCUUCCCUAACAGAUUAGCAUAAGCGAUCGUGAAGUAUUUAGGCUGAUACACAUGCAGUAUAAAACUGAACUGCAAGUAGGAAAGCAAUUUUAAAGCACUUAAAACAUUGAACUGAGAUUUGGAACUUAUACCUACCUACAAAAUAACAUAUUCAUGUGAACAUGUGAUAAGAUAGAAAAUAGCUUGUUUAGCAGAAAGAGAAAAGGAAACAUGAACUUACAGCAAUAUGCUAUUUAAUGUCUGUGUUUGGAAUAUUUAAAAUAUCUGAUGGUAAAGUUGCCAAAGUAGUUUUGAAUUCAUGUAAGUUGUUUAUACUACAACAAUGUGGGGUAUGUUUACAGGCUCUUUAGAGUACUUACUUUGUAGUUCUGAUGAAGUUUGUCAUUUGUAUUUAAAUCAUUUAUAGUAACUAUAUGAUGAUAAAUAUUUGCUGGAGUAAAUAUGUCAAUAAUAUAGCAAAACGUAUCUAAGUGAUCCCACAGUCUGCUUUCAUACAAGGUGCUGUGUCCAGAAAGCGAGUGCUUUGUGUUAACAUUGCUCACAUCCCACGCUUGCACCAAACUUCCAGCUGCCAUUCCUAGAACCAUGUGUGGUGCUUCCUCCAAGUAAAACAGCUGUGUUAUCCUAAGUGGAUUGAAUUUAUCAACUAUCAGAAAUACUAACCUAUUAACAGAUAUUUGUGUCUCAGUGUGAUCACAAAGUGUAGCAACUUUCAUGAAAUUCUUAGAGAAUUAUUUACAUGCAAAGAAAUUUAGCUAAUCCUAAAACUUUUAGAGGGCUAAUUGCUAAUAGAUAAUUUCAUCAAUUUUAAGAGUAAAAGAAAUCAGUCCCAGAAUUAUAUGUUCUGGGUUCGGCUUUUUACCACAAUUCUUAUUUUGCAUGGAUUUCAUUUACUCUUAGUAGUAGUUAUUAUAUUUCUCUAUGUUACCAGAAACAACAACCCAUAUAUUCCAUCCCGCAAUUACUUGAUUUUCAUGCCUUAUUGAAUUCUUUUGAGUAGAUACCAUAAAGUUAUUUUCUGUUUCCAUAUAUCAGUCUGCUGCUGCUUAUUUACAUUUUUCUACUAUGGUAGACUGUUGAUAUCUAAAGUCAUUGUUUAUUUUUUUAGUCCUCCAAAGGUAAAUGGGCAGCCAUUAGUCAUAGCUGCUUGACGGCAGUCCAUCUAUAUUGGCUAGGUAUGGCUCAGUGCGUAAGCAAGUACACCAUUUGCAGAAAAGUAUUAGCAAUAUUGCAAGUUAAAGCUACACUGUUAAGGAAGAGUUUAAAUGUUUAACUUCCUGGAGCUUUGUAAAAUUUCCAGUAUAAGGAUGAAAAAGAAAGCCUUGUUAAGGUUAUAAAAGUUUCAAUUAAACACUGUAGAGUUUUCCUAUUCUUAUGUAAAUGAUAUACAGAAAAUAUUUUUCUAUGAACAGAAGGUUAAAACUUUAAUUUCAUUGCUUAAAAGGGAUAAAACAAUAUUUGUAUGUCUUUCAUGCUGUAAAGAAAAUGAAUGUAUCUUUCAAAUGUUCGAGUUGUUACUUGAUUCUAAGUAUAUGUGUUUUAGAAAAGCAAACUGCAAAAGGUUGAAGAGUCUUACAAGUCAUUAUGUAAAAUGCAAUGUUGGAAGAAAUGGAAUUUCAUUAUAAAUGAGUAGUCACUAUCAAAGCAUAUUUCAGAUAUAGUGUACAUUCAUUUUCACAUUGAUUUGUUUUAUUUCUAGAAAUGUUUCUUAAAAAUUGUAUAUACUGUUUUGAGUGUAACGUAAUUGAUUUCUAACUUGUGUUAGGCUUAGUGUGCUGCUGCAUGUGUCUACCAUGGAGGAAAGUUCCCAAGCUUUGUCAGUGUCACAGCCACCAGUAGGGGCAUCAUUGUGAGAAUGUGAAACCCAUGCCUAAGAGCCACUGCAGUAAAUAUGUGCAGAGGCCUCUGACUGUGCUAAUGUGUUUCCCUUUUUAUCUUCAAUGACAUAUAUAGUAAGACUACUGGACCGAACUCUCCUGACUUGUAACAGUGGUGGCUUGUAUGCUUACAACUUUAUUCAGCUGAGUGAAGACUCUUUAAACCAGUGCCCAUAGGUGUGAGUGAUUUGUUCAAUAGCUUCCUUAAAUCUAGUAUUUACCAGUUAUUAAACUUGAUGAAAAUUGGGAAUUCAUUGUUUUGACACUUUUCUAGCCAUUCAUACUUAUUUCAACUCAUGAUGUACCCUGAACAACCAAAAAGUGAUCCAUGGUUAGUGUCAUAUUUCCUCUACCCCAGCAGUUACAAAGUUUAGCACUGCUAAAUAACUGAUGACUUAGAAGUUGCAUUGUUAAAUACAGUCACUGCCAAGGAUCAUCAAGGAGAUAGCUUUCUUUAACCUUUGGCCCAGAUAGUUGCUGCUUCCUGGUUUCCCUAGAUGUGCUAGCUAUAUAUCUGGUAUAUGUCUUCAUAUCCACUAUAGUAACAAUUGGGCCUAGUUUACCCUUUAAAAGUUUUUUGUUUUCCACUCAUAUACUAUUCCAGUUAUCUUCCUUCCCAAGAUUGUCUGGAUUCAUUUUCCCAGUGUUUGAAUGAGUUAACAAGAUCCCUCACUCCUGAAUCCUGUAGAGUCCUUUUUCAGUGCUAAAAUUGUUUUCCAAUAGCACUUUAUUUCAUGCCUACUACUGAUUUAAUUUAUACAUUAAAAAUAUCUAUCCUAGAGUUUGUAAAUACAGAAAAGCAAUUGAUUAGUAGUAGAGUUUAUUAGAUUGGCCCCAAGUUUAAAUGCUUUAUAAUGAUCUCUUGAUAGCUUCUUUGAUACUUAAGAGGUAACUUAUGUGACUUUAGCUCUGCCGUUUUCCUGUAAUUUGUAUAAUACAGUAGAGGCUGCCCAGCCAACUAUAUUGCUGGACUUAUUUCUCUCAGCUAGCUUCAGCCGAGCUUGGUUACUAAAACUGUUUUUGUGCUCUGAGUUUUGGACAUCACAUGAAUAUUUGGAAAUCUGUUUGUUUUCAGUAUAGUACCUAAAGAUUUAGUAGAUACUGCACCACAAGUUCAUAGUUUAUAUGAAAGACAAAGGGCAGAAUUUAUAAUAUUGUAACAGUUUAUAUUAAGCUGUUUUUAUAAUCUGCCAGUACAAUACAUCUGCUGUAAAAAUAUAAAAGUUGUCUACCCCAGUGGUCUCCAGCACAGAACACACCAAUUCUAAACUAUGCUGUGGACUUUUAAAUAAGAAAGGCUAGUUAUUGUCUUCUACAGGGUAGGUUAACUUUAGGCCUGAUAGCUUAUACUUAUCAGUACUGUUUUAAACAGGAGUUUAAAAAUUAUUUUUUUGUAGAGGGUAUUUUAAUUUGGGAACUUUCUUUUUUUGUAAUAGGUGCUAUAUGUAAAUAUGGAGUGAGAAGUUGCUUGAUUAAAGGUCUAGUUUAUUUCCUUAUUAAAAUACUUUUCAUUUCUGUUUCCAUUUCAUGGUUUCUGCUGAACUUAAUAGCAAAAUAGAAUUAGUCCCUUAAAGUUGUAGACUACCUUUUCUCACAGUUGUACAAACUAAUUUCCAUAUGGUUUGGUCUCAGAUUAAGAGGCAAAGAAGCUAAGAGUGAAAACAAAAUACAUAAGCUUGAAUUUGGUCAACACUGGACUAUUAGAAAUUAUCACUGUGCACUUGUCACUGCAGUUUACUUUGUGUCUGAAAGGCAUUGUGUGUGUGUCAUAAUUUCAGUGAAAAUUAGAAUUCCUGCCAUUCAUGUUUAAACAAUCCACACAUAGCAACAGUGAACAGGAUAAAAAUGCUGGUUUGCAUUGAAACUGUUUUAGUCCUAACCUCAAUUUAUAUUAUGCAAAAUACAUUUACAGAUAUUUUGUUGGUUAUAUUUCAUUUUGAUUUAGUACUUGUUCAGGUACAAAUGUGAAACGAAAAAAAAAACCCACCUAGCUGUUAAUGUUCAAUUGAAAAAUAAAGAUGCGCUUUAGUAAUCUAA